UACAGAGGUCCCGAGCGUUGUUCGGAUUCACUGGGCGUAAAGGGUGCGUAGGUGGCAAGGUAAGUUUGAUGUGAAAGCUCAGGGCUUAACCCUGAAAUGGCAUUGAAUACUACUGUGCUGGAGGUUUGGAGGGGGGACUGGAAUUCUUGGUGUAGCAGUGAAAUGCGUAGAUAUCAAGAGGAACACCAGUGGCGAAGGCGAGUCCCUGGACAACACCUGACACUGAGGCACGAAAGCUAGGGGAGCAAACAGG
rnacentral:rRNA from 1 species